rnacentral:rRNA from 1 species
AUUGGACGCUGGCGGCAUGCUUUACACAUGCAAGUCGAACGGUAACAGGCCUUCGGGUGCUGACGAGUGGCGAACGGGUGAGUAAUGCAUCGGAACGUGCCCAGAGGUGGGGGAUAACGCAGCGAAAGCUGUGCUAAUACCGCAUGUGAUCUGAGGAUGAAAGCGGGGGACCAGGCAGCAAUGUUUGGCCUCGCGCCUUUGGAGCGGCCGAUGUCAGAUUAGGUAGUUGGUGGGGUAAAGGCCUACCAAGCCGACGAUCUGUAGCUGGUCUGAGAGGACGACCAGCCACACUGGGACUGAGACACGGCCCAGACUCCUACGGGAGGCAGCAGUGGGGAAUUUUGGACAAUGGGCGCAAGCCUGAUCCAGCAAUGCCGCGUGCGGGAAGAAGGCCUUCGGGUUGUAAACCGCUUUUGUACGGAACGAAAAGGCUCUGGCUAAUACCUGGGGCUGAUGACGGUACCGUAAGAAUAAGCACCGGCUAACUACGUG